UAGGGAAUCUUCGGCAAUGGACGAAAGUCUGACCGAGCAACGCCGCGUGAGUGAAGAAGGUUUUCGGAUCGUAAAACUCUGUUGUUAGAGAAGAACAAGGACGUUAGUAACUGAACGUCCCCUGACGGUAUCUAACCAGAAAGCCACGGCUAACUACGUGCCAGCAGCCGCGGUAAUACGUAGGUGGCAAGCGUUGUCCGGAUUUAUUGGGCGUAAAGCGAGCGCAGGCGGUUUCUUAAGUCUGAUGUGAAAGCCCCCGGCUCAACCGGGGAGGGUCAUUGGAAACUGGGAGACUUGAGUGCAGAAGAGGAGAGUGGAAUUCCAUGUGUAGAGGUGAAAUGCGAGAUAUAUGGAGGAACACCAGUGGCGAAGGCGGCUCUCUGGUCUGUAACUGACGCUGAGGCUCGAAAGCGUGGGGAGCAAACAGG
rnacentral:rRNA from 1 species